rnacentral:tRNA from 1 species
GGUAUAGCUCAGUUGGUUAGAGCGCCAGAUUGUGGUUCUGGAGGUCGCCGGUUCGAAUCCGGUUAC